GUAGAGCUCGAAGCCGACCUCCUUGAUGUGACCGGACUGCUCCUCGCCGAGCAGGUUGCCCGCUCCGCGGAUGUCGAGGUCG
rnacentral:sRNA from 1 species